rnacentral:rRNA from 1 species
UACGGGGGGUGCGAGCGUUGUCCGGAAUCACUGGGCGUAAAGGCCGCGUAGGUGGCCUUCUAAGUUGAACGUGAAAUCCCUGGGCUCAACCCAGGAACUGCGUCCAAGACUGGGAGGCUUGAAUCCGGGAGAGGGAUGCGGAAUUCCAGGUGUAGCGGUGAAAUGCGUAGAUAUCUGGAGGAACACCGGUGGCGAAGGCGGCAUCCUGGACCGGUAUUGACACUGAGGCGCGAAAGCCAGGGGAGCAAACGGG